CCAUGCCGCAUGAAUGAUGAAGGUCUUAGGAUUGUAAAAUUCUUCACCGGGGAAGAUAAUGACGGUACCCGGAGAAGAAGCCCCGGCUAACUUCGUGCCAGCAGCCGCGGUAAUACGAAGGGGGCUAGCGUUGCUCGGAAUUACUGGGCGUAAAGGGCGCGUAGGCGGACAGUUUAGUCAGAGGUGAAAGCCCAGGGCUCAACCUUGGAAUUGCCUUUGAUACUGGCUGUCUUGAGUUCGGGAGAGGUGAGUGGAAUGCCGAGUGUAGAGGUGAAAUUCGUAGAUAUUCGGCGGAACACCAGUGGCGAAGGCGACUCACUGGCCCGAUACUGACGCUGAGGCGCGAAAGCGUGGGGAGCAAACAGGAUUAGAUACCCUGGUAGUCCACGCUGUAAACGAUGAGUGCUAGUUGUCGGCAUGCAUGCAUGUCGGUGACGCAGCUAACGCAUUAAGCACUCCGCCUGGGAGUACGGUCGCAAGAUUA
rnacentral:rRNA from 1 species